GUUCGUUCAGUUUAACCAACACAACUAAUCUUCAAGAUAUAUUUAUAUAGUCAGCUGAGCCUGGUUCGUUCAGUUUAACCAACACAACUAAUCUUCAAGAUAUAUUUAUAUAGGCAGCUGAGCCCGGUUCGUUCAGUUUAACCAACACAACAGAUCUGCAAGAAAACCAACAAGAUCAGGAGACUCAUGGAUCAGCUAAUGGAAGAAGUUGUAAGUCUGAUUAUUUACUAAUCCCUGGGGGACACUGUAAAAAUGAUAAAUCACACUUUUCCACGGACAGGUUUUGUGGAAAUUCUCUUGGCGUACAAAACAUGAGACAACCCAUCCUCUCUUACUCAAAGCCGUUUUUGUUCCGUGUUGUGACAGAUUCUGAUGAGCUGACAAACUCUAUUGAUUAUAUGAACAGAGGCUUCCAUCUUAACUAUCAUCAACUACCAUGCUCGGCUUGAAUCUAACUAUCCAACUACAGUCUUCGUCGUAUAUAUCAAUACAAUAAAGACGACUUUAUAUCUAAAUUUUGAUUUAUACAAAGUUUUAAAAUAUAAUGGAUAUAUAUAAACAUUGAAACAAAGAAAAUCGGCCAAUUAAGAGCUUCUCUUUUGUUUACUUGUAAACUUGUAAUUUAAAAAAAGCUUGUUUGAAAUCAAAACUUAAUUAAAAAGUCGUCUUCAUUGUA